GACGAACGCUGGCGGCGCGCUUAACACAUGCAAGUCGAACGGAAAGGCCUGCUUUCCCUUGUGGAUUGCGGGUACUCGAGUGGCGAACGGGUGAGUAACACGUGAGUGAUCUGCCCCCAACUUGGGUAUAAGCCUGGGAAACUGGGACUAAUUCCCGAUAGGACUGCAGGGUGGUGCCUGUGGUGGAAAACGAUUUUCUAGUGGUUGGGGAUGAGCUCGCGGCCUAUCAGCUUGUUGGUGGGGUAAUGGCCUACCAAGGCGGCGACGGGUAGCCGGCCUGAGAGGGUGGACGGCCACAUUGGGACUGAGAUACGGCCCAGACUCCUACGGGAGGCAGCAGUGGGGAAUAUUGCACAAUGGGCGGAAGCCUGAUGCAGCGACGCCGCGUGGGGGAUGACGGCCUUCGGGUUGUAAACUCCUUUCGACCGCGAGGAAGCCACCUGGUUGGAAGGGUGGUGACGGUAGUGGUAGAAGAAGCACCGGCUAACUACGUG
rnacentral:rRNA from 1 species